rnacentral:misc_RNA from 1 species
UUUGAAAGUGAGAAGUUCGUGAUAUUAUAGAGGCUAGAGAAUUUUGGACUCCGUGUCUUAAUCCUACAUGAUAUGGCUUGGGCAGACCCAACAUUUCUGUGAAUGAGUGAAGGAGAGACGAGAGACGAGAGUCGAGACAGUCAUCAACAACUAGAUACUAAAGCAAAAUUCCUGAUUGUACGAUUACAUUAGCACUAAGGGCCAAGUUUUUUCAAUAUUUGACAAACUGAAAAAUGCAUGAUUAAUUGUUGUUUUCAACUCCUCUCAAGAGACGGUGCUGGAGGAAGAAAGGACUGCUUUAAAUAGAUGGAAGUGUGAUACAAAAUGCCGACAGUCUACAACUCAUCCUUGACAGCAGAAGAUUCGGUAUCCACAUCAUCUUUGGAGGUAUCUACUGCUUCUUUUGUUUCAGAUUCAGCUUCAUUUUCAUCCACAUCAUCUUCCUCUUCAACAUUUGCAUCU